GACGGGGGGGGCUAGUGUUAUUCGGAAUGACUGGGCGUAAAGGGCACGUAGGCGGUGAAUCCGGUUGAAAGUGAAAGUCGCCAGCUCAACUGGCGGAAUGCUUUCAAAACCAAUUCACUUGAGUAAGAUAGAGGAUAGUGGAAUUUCGUGUGUAGAGAUAAAAUUCACAGAUAUACGAAGGAACACCAAAAGCGAAGGCAGCUUUCUGGGUCUCUACUGACGCUGAGGUGCGAAAGCAUAGGGAGCAAACAGG
rnacentral:rRNA from 1 species